rnacentral:lncRNA from 1 species
CCCCAUAAGAAACUGAAAAAAAAACUAAGUUGAAAAUAUAAAAAUCUAUAUGUACAACUCAUAAAGCCUAUACAAUAAAAUAUAUGUAAAAAUAAUAUAAUAUCUAAAAAUUAUAUAUAACUAAUUAUCUGAUGUGGGGCAAAAUCACAUAAAAAAGAUGUAAUCUAAUCAACCUGAGUCUUCAAUGACAUUAUCUCUAUCUGAUAGGUGUACCUCAGCACCUCUAUCUGUAUGUCAUGUCUCUGAUUCAUCUUCUAUAAAUGUAUCUCAUAUCUUUGUGUCAUCUCCUAUACAUGUGUCUCUUACAUCUGUAUCAUCUCCUAUACAUGUGUUUCUAGCUUAUGGGCUUCUACAGUGCUACUGUUCUAUCUACACUCCUGAGUAUAUUUGCUCAUUACAGAUAACUGAGUGGGGGUGACUCCAACUCCAUAACCCUUCACCUUGGCCAUAAUACUCUGGUCCUAUUAGCUCAAUGAACACCUGAUCUCAACAUGACUGUACUCUGUAGAUGAUGAUAACUUACCGAUACACUCUGCAAUAAGCAUUAUUGCCCUAUCCUAUAUAUUAAAGAACAGACCUAUAUAUUAAUGAUAAAAAAAGAUAAUAUAAAUCAUUUAACAAAUAGAUCAAUAUAUACCAUCAGAUCUCUAGACUCCUCAUCUACAAAGCUGCCAUUCGAUAGGUAUGAGUCAUCCUAUAAAACUCAACUUCAUAAGGCUCCCUCCCAUGCUUCUUCAUCUACACAAUAAAAAUAUAUGUUAUAUGAUAUAUGGUCCAUUAUAUAUGAUAUGUGAUACAAGA